UACGAAGGGGGCUAGCGUUGUUCGGAAUUACUGGGCGUAAAGCGCACGCAGGCGGAUUGAUAAGUCAGGGGUGAAAUCCCGGGGCUCAACCUCGGAAUUGCCUUUGAUACUGUCUAUCUUCGAGUUCGGGAGAGGUUGGCGGAAUUCCUAGUGUAGAGGUGAAAUUCGCAGAUAUCAGGAAGAACACCCGUGGCGAAAGCGGCUCUCUGGAACGGUACUGACGCUGAGACGCGAAAGCGUGGGGAGCGAACAGG
rnacentral:rRNA from 1 species